GUUCGUGCUGAAGGCCUGUUUCCUAGGCUACAAACGAGGGACUUGUUCCUUACUCUACGCCUAGGGGAAAGUCCCCGGACCCUGGGCAGAGAGUGCCACGUGCGUUUGUGCGUAGACCUCCUCGCGUCUCACUUUAAAGCUCCGCCAAGAAGCGAUCCCGCCGCAGUCUGCGGGUGAGCUGAGCGGCAUGAGGGCUGUGUGUGGUCAUCCGUCAGCAUUCUAGUUACGCAGGCAGUGCGCCUCGGUGCGCACCAACCACACGGGGCUCAUUCUCAGUGCGGC
rnacentral:RNase_MRP_RNA from 1 species